UGUACCUUUACAGAAGAGAUUAAGUCCCCAGGGCUUUGUCCCCAUGAGAGGAAAAUGUCCAUGUCGGGUGAGUUUGUUAUGCUGAAAGUCCUCUCGCCUUCUGCUGCAGCGUGACACAGCAAGAAGGUUGUCCCCAGUGGACGCUGUCACCCAGACGUUUACUUCAAGAGUGGUCAUCCUUUCCAGUGUCCCCCAGGAACUGCCCCUUGACCUCACGGUGGCUCAUUAGUGACCCCAUGAAGACAGUAGCCUCUCUAUCGACACAGCCGUAUGAAUGGCCACACGUGAGAAAUUGAAGAAAGAAAUGGAUCACUGUAUCUGCAGGAAGACGGAUCCGAUGAGAAUCAGCAUGAGAAGCAAACCAAGGGAUGCCGCACUGGAAGGGGGCUCAGCCUUGGAGCUCUCACAGCCAGACUUUCCUGAGGACUGGGGUGAGGGUGUCACUUAGGCCGGGACACCAACUCACCCAAGCAGCUGAUGUAUAAACUGGAAGCCUGUUUAUGAACUGAGGGAUCCUCUCCUGGUGUUCCCAAUCGAGCUGGAGAGCUGCUGACAGGUUCUCCCACUGAUUGCCUUUUUAUAUCUUGCGAACAGAGCGCAGCCAUGGCUUCAGAAGCCAGGGAACAAUCCACUGCUCAGCUGGGUUUCAGGGCUGGCAUACACCCUGAAUACGAAUUAGAGGCAAGGUCUUAGAGAGAAUAGGUCCUAAUUAGGUUUCGUGUCUUUCUACGGAGCCACCCAGCCCUUUGUUCCCACCUGGGAU